rnacentral:rRNA from 1 species
GACGUAGGGCGCGAGCGUUGUCCGGAUUUAUUGGGCGUAAAGAGCUCGUAGGCGGCUUGUCACGUCGGGUGUGAAAGCCCGGGGCUUAACCCCGGGUCUGCAUUCGAUACGGGCUAGCUAGAGUGCGGAAGGGGCAAUCGGAAUUCUUGGUGUAGCGGUGAAAUGCGUAGAUAUCAAGAGGAACACCUGAGGUGAAGACGGGUUGCUGGGCCGACACUGACGCUGAGUGCACGAAAGCCAGGGGAGCAAACGGG